CAUUUUCAUCCUUCAUUAAUCAACGGUUAAGAUCUUUUUUAUUUUUUGUAAAAUAAAGUACCGAAUCAUUUCUCAUAAAAUAUUACACUUUUUUUCAUCGAUUUAUCAAGAAAAAAAUUCAAAUAAUAUUAUAAAUCCCAAAAUUAUUGUCAUGCCCGAGCCCCAGCGGAAGCUUAUCCGGUACGUGCGUAGACCCGCCGUAUGCUCGGUGCAUACAAGGCGUCUACAAUAACAUAUUAAAAAUAACAUAAGAAAAUAAAUA
rnacentral:lncRNA from 1 species